rnacentral:tRNA from 1 species
GAGGGUAUAGCUCAGGUGGUAGAGCGCAUGCCUAGCAUGCAUGAGGUCCUGGGCUCAAUCCCCAGUGCCUCCU